GAUGAACGCUGGCGGCGUGCCUAAUACAUGCAAGUCGAGCGUAUGGAUUAAGAGCUUGCUCUUAUGAAGUUAGCGGCGGACGGGUGAGUAACACGUGGGUAACCUGCCCAUAAGACUGGGAUAACUCCGGGAAACCGGGGCUAAUACCGGAUAACAUUUUGAACCGCAUGGUUCGAAAUUGAAAGGCGGCUUCGGCUGUCACUUAUGGAUGGACCCGUGUCGCAUUAGCUAGUUGGUGAGGUAACGGCUCACCAAGGCAACGAUGCGUAGCCGACCUGAGAGGGUGAUCGGCCACACUGGGACUGGGACACGGCCCAGACUCCUACGGGAGGCAGCAGUAGGGAAUCUUCCGCAAUGGACGAAAGUCUGACGGAGCAACGCCGCGUGAGUGAUGAAGGCUUUCGGGUCGUAAAACUCUGUUGUUAGGGAAGAACAAGUGCUAGUUGAAUAAGCUGGCACCUUGACGGUACCUAACCAGAAAGCCACGGCUAACUACGUGCCAGCCGCCGCGGUAA
rnacentral:rRNA from 1 species